rnacentral:rRNA from 1 species
UUNUGAACUGGGUGACUAGAGUGUNUCAGAGGGAGGUAGAAUUCCACGUGUAGCAGUGGAAUGCGUAGAGAUGUGGAGGAAUACCGAUGGCGAAGGCAGCCUCCUGGGAUAACACUGACGUUCAUGCUCGAAAGCGUGGGUAGCAAACAGGAUUAGAUACCCUGGUAGUCCACGCCCUAAACGAUGUCAAUUAGCUGUUGGGCAACUUGAUUGCUUAGUAGCGUAGCUAACGCGUGAAAUUGACCGCCUGGGGAGUACGGUCGCAAGAUUAAAACUCAAAGGAAUUGACGGGGACCCGCACAAGCGGUGGAUGAUGUGGAUUAAUUCGAUGCAACGCGAAGAACCUUACCUGGUCUUGACAUGUACGGAAUCCUCCAGAGACGGAGGAGUGCCUUCGGGAGCCGUAACACAGGUGCUGCAUGGCUGUCGUCAGCUCGUGUCGUGAGAUGUUGGGUUAAGUCCCGCAACGAGCGCAACCCUUGUCAUUAGUUGCCAUCAUUUAGUUGGGCACUCUAAUGAGACUGCCGGUGACAAGCCGGAGGAAGGUGGGGAUGACGUCAAGUCCUCAUGGCCCUUAUGACCAGGGCUUCACACGUCAUACAAUGGUCGGUACAGAGGGUAGCCAAGCCGCGAGGUGGAGCCAAUCUCACAAAACCGAUCGUAGUCCGGAUUGCACUCUGCAACUCGAGUGCAUGAAGUCGGAAUCGCUAGUAAUCGCAGGUCAGCAUACUGCGGUGAAUACGUUCCCGGGUCUUGUACACACCGCCCGUCACACCAUGGGAGUGGGGGAUACCAGAAGUAGGUAGGGUA